UCCACUGUUGCGUUUUUCGUACGCACGUAUACGCACGUAAAUCCGUUUAAAUGUUACUUAUGAAAUAACCAAAUAAAUAAAGCAACAGAAUUUAGUGUUCCGCAAGUUUUAGUAUGCAUUUGUUAACCCUUUUGUAAAAUAUUUUAAAAAAUGUAAGGAUUCAAAGUUUUACGUGCGUGUACGUGCGAACAAAAACGCAACAGUGGA
rnacentral:miRNA from 1 species